CUACGGGACGCUCCAGUGGGGAAUAUUGCACAAUGGAGGAAACUCUGAUGCAGCAACGCCGCGUGGAGGAUGACACUUUUCGGAGCGUAAACUCCUUUUAUAUAGGAAGAAGAUGACGGUACUAUAUGAAUAAGCGCCGGCAUAACUCCGUGCCAGCAGCCGCGGUAAUAAGGAGGGCGCAAGCGUUACUCGGAAUCACUGGGCGUAAAGAGCGUGUAGGCGGAUUAAAAAGUCAGAAGUGAAAUCCUAUAGCUUAACUAUAGAACUGCUUCUGAAACUCUUAAUCUAGAAUAUGGGAGAGGUAGAUGGAAUUUCUGGUGUAGGGGUAAAAUCCGUAGAGAUCAGAAGGAAUACCGAUUGCGAAGGCGAUCUACUAGAACAUUAUUGACGCUGAGACGCGAAAGCGUGGGGAGCAAACAGGAUUAGAUACCCGCGUAGUC
rnacentral:rRNA from 1 species